rnacentral:rRNA from 1 species
UACGUAGGGGGCUAGCGUUGUCCGGAAUCAUUGGGCGUAAAGCGCGCGCAGGCGGCUCUCUAAGUCCAUGGGUAAAAGGCCGGGGCUCAACCCCGUGUACGCCCAGGAUACUGGGGAGCUGGAGACACGUAGAGGCAAGCGGAAUUCCGGGUGUAGCGGUGGAAUGCGUAGAGAUCCGGAAGAACACCGGAGGCGAAGGCGGCUUGCUGGGCGUGAUCUGACGCUGAGGCGCGAAAGCGUGGGGAGCGAACAGG